rnacentral:rRNA from 1 species
AUUGAACGCUGGCGGCAGGCCUAACACAUGCAAGUCGAGCGGAUGAAGGGAGCUUGCUCCUGGAUUCAGCGGCGGACGGGUGAGUAAUGCCUAGGAAUCUGCCUGGUAGUGGGGGAUAACGUCCGGAAACGGGCGCUAAUACCGCAUACGUCCUGAGGGAGAAAGUGGGGGAUCUUCGGACCUCACGCUCUCAGAUGAGCCUAGGUCGGAUUAGCUAGUUGGUGGGGUAAAGGCCUACCAAGGCGACGAUCCGUAACUGGUCUGAGAGGAUGAUCAGUCACACUGGAACUGAGACACGGUCCAGACUCCUACGGGAGGCAGCAGUGGGGAAUAUUGGACAAUGGGCGAAAGCCUGAUCCAGCCAUGCCGCGUGUGUGAAGAAGGUCUUCGGAUUGUAAAGCACUUUAAGUGGGGAGGAAGGGCAGUAAGUUAAUACCUUGCUGUAUUGACGUUACCAACAGAAUAAGCACCGGCUAACUUCGUG